rnacentral:rRNA from 1 species
CCUACGAGGGGCUGCAGUGAGGAAUAUUGGUCAAUGGCCGGAAGGCUGAACCAGCCAAGCCGCGUGAAGGACGAAGGUGCCAAGCAUUGUAAACUUCUUUUGUCAAGGGACAAAAUCAGGCUCGAGAGCCUGACCGAGGGUACUUGAAGAAAAAGCAUCGGCUAACUCCGUGCCAGCCGCCGCGGUAAUACGGAGGAUGCGAGCGUUGUCCGGAUUUAUUGGGGUUAAAGGGUUCGUAGGCGGUAGGUUACGUCAGCGGUAAAAGCCCGGGGCUCCACCCCGUCGAGCCGUGGAAACUAGCUGUCUUGAAAUGGCGAGAGGGAUAGGGAAUGCGCGGUGUAGCGGUGAAAUGCGUAGAUAUUGCGAAGAACACCGAUGGCGAAGGCGGCAUACCGGC